UACGUAGGGUGCAGGCGUUAAUCGGAAUUACUGGGCGUAAAGCGUGCGCAGGCGGUUUCUUAAGUCAGAUGUGAAAGCCCCGGGCUUAACCUGGGAACUGCGUUUGAAACUGGGAGACUUGAGUGUGGCAGAGGGUAGUGGAAUUCCCAGUGUAGCGGUGAAAUGCGGAGAUAUUGGGAGGAACACCGAUGGCGAAGGCAGCCCCCUGGGCUGACACUGACGCUCAGGCACGAAAGCGUGGGGAGCAAACAGG
rnacentral:rRNA from 1 species